rnacentral:tRNA from 1 species
AAUAAGAUGGCUGAGUAAAAUAUAAGCGGUAGGUUGUAAAUCUAUUUAGAGGAAAUCCUUCUUAUUA